rnacentral:lncRNA from 1 species
CUAUGUUUUGUCUGCCGGGGCACCCUUUGAUGUUGUCAGAGAUAUCACAACCGCGCAGCCCCUUGGACAACUGUCGGACAUUGUGAUUUCGGCAGCUGUUGGGGGGCGCGCUAAAGUUUUCGACUACAUCAUGAAACGAUGGCUAAGCGCGCUCGACCGUGGAUUCAUGCUCGGCGAUGACAUUAAUGCGGGCGUGGCCUCAAUGGACGACGCGGUUGCCGACGCCCUUGUGACUGCGGCCAGUCUCGGUCAUGCGCGGAUUAUCGACACGAUCGCCUACAACUACGAUGCACUUGACUGGGCGUUGCCCAGGGGGGCGUGCAGCGAGGCCGUGGCGAUGGCGAUCGAGCGCAGUCACUGGGCGAGCCUCGUGAGCCUCUCUAUCGCAUGCCCGGCCGAUUGCAUCCGGUCGCUCAUUCCUUGGGCCAUUCUCCACGACACACCGCAGGCCAUCAAAAUUGUCUUGCCCAACAUGACGCCACGCGAAAAGGACACGCUCUUCCAAUGUGCCGUGGAGACAGGCGCUUGGCGUGUUGCUCGCUGGCUUGCCUCGGCCGGCCGCAAGGUGGUCGACUUGCGCGACAAAGACCUGCCCCAACCGCUUCAGAAACCCCCUUGUAUUUUUGGUUGGCCUCCCGCAGAGAAAAAUAAACCACUGCAUUCGCGUCCG